UGCUCCCAUCUUCCAUUCCCAGAGGGUGCGUUUUCUUAGCACAACCUGACAAGAUUCAAGGAGUGGCAAACCGCUGUUAUUCUUCUGACUUUACCUACACACUAACAACCUGCCACAAAGUCGCCCUCUUUGAUUCUGGCGCAGUUCUCUUUGUCGUCAUGACAGAGUUUGUAGCAUUCCCAAAGUUCCCUAAAAUCUGUCUCGUCGUAGGGAAAUGCAAGAAGCGAGUGGCCAAACGUGGAGUUCCUUGUUUUCUGAAUGGCCGAUGUGAGAAAGGAUACGAGUAGGCAACGGAAGAGAAGCAUGGCUCUUAUCUCUGUGUCUUCUUUUGGUUUUUGAAUAAUUGACUCACAUGAUAGAAUGCAUCUUCUUUUGAAGGAGUACAUGCUGAGAUGAUAAUUAUCCUUUGAUGAAACAAAAUGUGAUUAUACAGCAUGAUAAUUGUGAUCGCAAAUUGCAUCAUCUCUUCAAAGAAUGGCACCUUAGGAGAUGACUUUAGUUUAUUAAAGGGAUAGAUGAUUGUUA